UACGUAGGGGGCUAGCGUUGUCCGGAUUUAUUGGGCGUAAAGAGCGGGUAGGCGGCCAGGUAGGUCUGGUGUGAAAACUCGAGGCUUAACCUCGAGAUGUCAUCGGAAACCAUCUGGCUAGAGUCCGGAAGAGGAGAGUGGAAUUCCUGGUGUAGCGGUGAAAUGCGCAGAUAUCAGGAAGAACACCAAUGGCGAAAGCAGCUCUCUGGGACGGUACUGACGCUGAGACGCGAAAGCGUGGGGAGCGAACAGG
rnacentral:rRNA from 1 species